GCUUAACACAUGCAAGUCGAGCGAGGCCCGUUCGGUGGCAACACCGGGCGGUUCCUAGCGGCGAACGGGUGAGUAACACGUGGGUAACCUGCCCCUGACAUCGGGAUAAGCCCGGGAAACCGGGUCUAAUACCGAAUAUGAGACGCUCUCGCAUGGGAGCGUCUGGAAAGGGUUCACCGGUCACGGGAUGGGCCCGCGGCCUAUCAGCUUGUUGGUGGGGUAACAGCCCACCAAGGCGACGACGGGUAGCCGGCCGGAGAGGGUGUCCGGCCAGACUGGGACUGAGACACGGCCCAGACUCCUAGGGGAGGCAGCAGUGGGGAAUCUUGCGCAAUGGGCGAAAGCCUGACGCAGCGACGCCGCGUGAGGGAUGAAGGCUUUCGAGUUGUAAACCUCUUUCAGCAGGGACGAAGCGAAAGUGACGGUACCUGCAGAAGAAGCCCCGGCCAACUACGUGCCAGCCGCCGCAGUAACAC
rnacentral:rRNA from 1 species